rnacentral:tRNA from 1 species
UUCAAGUUAGUUUACAAAAAACAUUACAUUUUCAAUGUAAAAAUAUUUAUUCUAUAAUAUUUGAAU